GUUGGGUGAAUGUGCUGUUGCCU
rnacentral:piRNA from 1 species